AUUGAACGCUGGCGGCAUGCUUUACACAUGCAAGUCGAACGGUAACAGGCCGCAAGGUGCUGACGAGUGGCAAACGGGUGAGUAAUGCAUCGGAACGUGCCCAGUCGUGGGGGAUAACUAUCCGAAAGGAUAGCUAAUACCGCAUACGAUCUGCGGAUGAAAGCGGGGGACCUUCGGGCCUCGCGCGAUUGGAGCGGCCGAUGUCAGAUUAGGUAGUUGGUGGGGUAAAGGCUCACCAAGCCAACGAUCUGUAGCUGGUCUGAGAGGACGACCGGCCACACUGGGACUGAGACACGGCCCAGACUCCUACGGGAGGCAGCAGUGGGGAAUUUUGGACAAUGGGCGCAAGCCUGAUCCAGCAAUGCCGCGUGCAGGAAGAAGGCCUUCGGGUUGUAAACUGCUUUUGUACGGAACGAAACGGCUCUGGUUAAUACCUGGGGCUAAUGACGGUACCGUAAGAAUAAGCACCGGCUAACUACGUGCCAGCAGCCGCCGCCG
rnacentral:rRNA from 1 species